AGGGUUGUGGCUCAACGGUACAGCGUGCACCUAGCACGCGCAAGGCCCUGGGUUCGAUCCUCAGCACCACAU
rnacentral:tRNA from 1 species